rnacentral:rRNA from 1 species
UACGUCGGUGGCAAGCGUUGUCCGGAUUUACUGGGCGUAAAGAGCGCGCAGGCGGCUGGGCAAGUCCGAUGUGAAAGCUUCCGGCUUAACUGGAAAAUUGCAUCGGAAACUGCUCGGCUUGAAGGUGGGAGAGGGUAGCGGAAUUCCCGGUGUAGUGGUGAAAUGCGUAGAUAUCGGGAGGAACACCAGUGGCGAAGGCGGCUACCUGGCCCACUCUUGACGCUGAGGCGCGAAAGCUAGGGGAGCAAACGGG